rnacentral:rRNA from 1 species
GACAGAGGAGCCAAGCGUUGUCCGGAUUGACUGGGCGUAAAGCGCACGCAGGCGGUCGUGCACGUGGGGUGUGAAAACUGGCGGCUUAACUGCCAGAGGCCACCUCAUACGGCGCGACUCGAGCCCUGCAGAGGUCCAUGGAAUUGCCGGUGUAGUGGUGAAAUGCGUAGAGAUCGGGAGGAACACCGGUGGCGAAGGCGGGUCUCUGGGCAAUUCCUGACGCUGAGGCGCGAAAGCGUGGGGAGCAAACGGG